rnacentral:rRNA from 1 species
GACAGAGGGUGCAAACGUUGCUCGGAAUCACUGGGCGUAAAGGGUGCGUAGGCGGGUCUUUAAGUCAGGGGUGAAAUCCUGGAGCUCAACUCCAGAACUGCCUUUGAUACUGAGGAUCUUGAGUUCGGGAGAGGUGAGUGGAAUUCCGAGUGUAGAGGUGAAAUUCGUAGAUAUUCGGAGGAACACCAGUGGCGAAGGCGGCUCACUGGCUCGGUACUGACGCUGAGGUGCGAAAGCGUGGGGAGCAAACAGG